rnacentral:rRNA from 1 species
CUUUCCCUCUUUCUUUAGGCCUAACACAUGCAAGUCGAACGGCAGCACAGUAAGAGCUUGCUCUUACGGGUGGCGAGUGGCGGACGGGUGAGGAAUACAUCGGAAUCUACUUUUUCGUGGGGGAUAACGUAGGGAAACUUACGCUAAUACCGCAUACGACCUACGGGUGAAAGCAGGGGAUCUUCGGACCUUGCGCGAUUGAAUGAGCCGAUGUCGGAUUAGCUAGUUGGCGGGGUAAAGGCCCACCAAGGCGACGAUCCGUAGCUGGUCUGAGAGGAUGAUCAGCCACACUGGAACUGAGACACGGUCCAGACUCCUACGGGAGGCAGCAGUGGGGAAUAUUGGACAAUGGGCGCAAGCCUGAUCCAGCCAGACCGCGUGGGUGAAGAAGGCCUUCGGGUUGUAAAGCCCUUUUGUUGGGAAAGAAAAGCAGCAGGUUAAUACCCCGCUGUUCGGACGGUACCCAAAGAAUAAGCACCGGCUAACUGCGU